rnacentral:tRNA from 1 species
CGGAGCGUAGCGCAGUCUGGCAGCGCGCCUGCUUUGGGAGCAGGAUAUCGGAGGUUCAAAUCCUCUCGCUCCGACCA